rnacentral:lncRNA from 1 species
UUUGAAUUCUGAAAGAGACUAACUUUAUUAUCACCAAAAGAACAUGUAUAACUGGAAAUGUCCAAUUUGGGAACAGAAAUUAAAUUCCGUCUAAAAGAUGGUACAACAAAAGUCUCAUCCAAAUCUAAUUGAAAAUCGGUCUUAAACAACAGCCUAAAUUUGCCAAUAGCCUUAGCUGGCACCUUCUUGCCGUCACCCACAUAGAUGUAUCUUUCACCAUCAUUUGGUUUUCGGCAGUUCAGGCACCCCUGCAUAGAUAUACUUAUGUGAGUAGUAGCAGCAGAAUCUACCCACCAAGUAUCCUUAGG